GAUUAAGUUAUUAAGGGCGCACGGUGGAUGCCUUGGCACUAGAAGCCGAUGAAGGACGUUACUAACGACGAUAUGCUUUGGGGAGCUGUAAGUAAGCUUUGAUCCAGAGAUUUCCGAAUGGGGAAACCCAGCAUGAGUUAUGUCAUGUUAUCGAUAUGUGAAUACAUAGCAUAUCAGAAGGCACACCCGGAGAACUGAAACAUCUUAGUACCCGGAGGAAGAGAAAGAAAAUUCGAUUCCCUUAGUAGCGGCGAGCGAAACGGGAAGAGCCCAAACCAACAAGCUUGCUUGUUGGGGUUGUAGGACACUCUAUACGGAGUUACAAAGGACGACAUUAGACGAAUCAUCUGGAAAGAUGAAUCAAAGAAGGUAAUAAUCCUGUAGUCGAAAAUGUUGUCUCUCUUGAGUGGAUCCUGAGUACGACGGAGCACGUGAAAUUCCGUCGGAAUCUGGGAGGACCAUCUCCUAAGGCUAAAUACUCUCUAGUGACCGAUAGUGAACCAGUACCGUGAGGGAAAGGUGAAAAGCACCCCGGAAGGGGAGUGAAAUAGAACCUGAAACCGUGUGCUUACAAGUAGUCAGAGCCCGUUAAUGGGUGAUGGCGUGCCUUUUGUAGAAUGAACCGGCGAGUUACGAUUUGAUGCAAGGUUAAGCAGUAAAUGUGGAGCCGUAGCGAAAGCGAGUCUGAAUAGGGCGUUUAGUAUUUGGUCGUAGACCCGAAACCAGGUGAUCUACCCUUGGUCAGGUUGAAGUUCAGGUAACACUGAAUGG
rnacentral:rRNA from 1 species